GUCUACAGCCAUACCAUUUUGAAGAUGCCUGAUCUUGUGUGCUCUCAGAGCUAAGCAGGAUCGGAUCUUGUUUAGACU
ensembl:rRNA Gm24915 predicted gene, 24915